rnacentral:lncRNA from 1 species
AGGCGCUCGAAGCUCGCUGGAAAGGCUUUUUAGCUUCUUCAUAACUCAUCUUCAAGCACCUUUAAGUCCUCCAUCAAUUCCAUGCUUCUUGGCCUUCUUUCUCCUUCAGUUUCUGAUCUGAAAACUUAACCAACAAGACAAGGAAAAUAUCCAGAAGCUCAAAGAGCUUAUUAGCAAAGAGGACCCUCAAAUAACAUAAGAAAAUCAAGCAAGUCCUAAACUUACUUAAAAUGCGAGAAAAGUCCCUAUAAAACUACAAAAUUACCAAAACAAAGUAAAGACUCAAAGAAAGAUAAAAAUGCAUGAGAAUGCAUGAAACACUACAUGAGACUCAACAAAAAGACUUAAAACAAACAAAGAAAUGACUCUAAAAACACUACUAAACUAGUGUCAUCAC